AAAUGAAAGGGGAUAAGUUAGAGUUGUGUGAGUGUCGUUUCAGCUUCUACGAGCUCGUCUUUCUCUUACUCUCGUAUCUUCUCUCUCGCCGGAAACCGCUCCGCCGCGUCGGAGGCGGCGGAGCUCGACCAAAUCCCUAAUUGGAGCCCUAUCCUCACUCUAUGGUCUACCCUGAACCUUAAUUCAACCUCAAUUUCACUCGUACACGGCUUCAACAAUCUCAAAUCAGAAAAGGGAUCAAGAACCCUAAAUGUAAAAAAUCGUGCAUAGAAGUAUAGGAACGAGUGAAGAUUGCGUUCAAACAUGUAUCGAGUAUCACGAAUCAAUUAUCAAGCAACCUAUGAAGACGCAGCAAGUUAAGGCUUACCUGGAUGUGAGCUGAAGAUGAUUGUUGAGGAAACCCAGAGACGAGUGAUAUUGUUGUGAUGAUGAAGAUCGAAAUGUUGUCACGAGAUUGAAGAAGAUUGAUGACCAUGUAUAGAACGCUGAAGAUUUGCGGUUGAAGAAGAUCGCUGUGUGAAGCUUGUUGAUUUGUUACGAUACCAAGAUGAAUUGAAGAUUUUGUUCUGGUUUUCUGGUGAAUUGAAUGGAGAGUAGAAUGAGAGAGGUUCUUUGUUUGAUUUCUGUUAUUGCAGGUGCAGAGAAUCGGUUGAAGAUAAUGGAUUGUGAUGAAUCUGAUAGAUGAAGAAAGUGGUGAAAAUGAGGUCGUGAAUGAAGCAGAGAAAUGGUGGAGGAUUGAAGGUGGUGGAGAUGAAUGAGAAUGGUGGAGAAGAUGGUGUCCAAGCUCAAAAAUGGUGGAGCAAUGAGAGUUCAGUGAAGAAUGGUGUGAGGAUUGAAGAGAUUGAGAGGUGGUAAUGGAGAGUAAAAUCGUGGAGAGCCUGCAUUUGAAGGAGGGAAUUGCUUAUAUAACAUUAGAGUAACUGGUUUCCAAUUUAGGAUGAAUAUGAUUUUAUGGAGCAAGGUUGAGGAUGCAUGGCUGAAUCUUGGGUUGUUACACUUAUCACGACAUGAGGUUGCAUACAGAAUGUGGGCAGUUCGGAGAAGAUACGAAGACAUGUCGUAGUGAAGAUGAAUGAUCAUGAAGAGGACAUUGAAGCAUAUAGAAAACACUAGGUUUUUAGGGAGAAAAGUCUAGGAUUCAACUUUGGUAAAACAAUGUUGGUUUUGAUGAAACUUUGUAAUUUUUUCUUUUUGUAAUUUAAUGAACAUGGAUUGUGUAGACUCUUGAACAAAGGAUUUUGAUGAAACCUUGUAAAAUUUUUCCUUUGUAAUUUAAUGAGCAAAGUAUUUUGAAUUUUGGGGUUGGAAAUGGAGAGUAUUUGUGG